GUAUGGUUUGGAGGUGCUCUGUUGUAUGGUUUGGAGGUGCUCUGUUGUAUGGUUUGGAGGUGCUCUUGUAUGGUUUGGAGGUGCUCUUGUAUGGUUUGGAGGUGCUCUAUUGUAUGGUUUGGAGGUGCUCUGUUGUAUGGUUUGGAGGUGGUCUUGUAUGGUUUGGAGGUGGUCUUGUAUGGUUUGGAGGUGCUCUUGUAUGGUUUGGAGGUGCUCUUGUAUGGUUUGGAGGUGCUCUUGUAUGGUUUGGAGGUGCUCUUGUAUGGUUUGGAGGUGCUCUGUUGUAUGGUUUGGAGGUGGUCUUGUAUGGUUUGGAGGUGGUCUUGUAUGGUUUGGAGGUGGUCUUGUAUGGUUUGGAGGUGCUCUGUUGUAUGGUUUGGAGGUGCUCUGUUGUAUGGUUUGGAGGUGCUCUAUUGUAUGGUUUGGAGAUGCUCUGGUCUCUGCCUGCUUUGCUUGCCUCACCUGCCCGGUCAGAAGGUGCUGUGUUGACAAUUGUGCCUGCACGGUGCCUAGGUCAAUGAAGGGAACCGAUGGUAGCCACUGGAUGCUCCUGGGAAAAUGUCACUACAGGCACCAGAGAAGCCAGAGCUAUGCCCAAAUUUCUAUGAGUCUCAGUUUUCUUAACCAUAAAAUGGGAUCAAAGUUUUUGUGGCAUGUUUAUGAGUGUGUGUCUGUGUAUGUGUGAGGAUUAAAU
rnacentral:lncRNA from 1 species